AUUCUGGACAUUAUCUGAUGAGUUAGAAGCUAUAAUAGCAAAAUGAUUUCUAUCUCCUAAAAGUAAAGAAUCCCUAAAAAGAAAUUCCUGGAGCCAG